rnacentral:rRNA from 1 species
UACGUAGGUGGCGGGCGUUGUCCGGAUUUACUGGGCGUAAAGGGAGCGUAGGCGGACUUUUAAGUGAGAUGUGAAAUACUCGGGCUCAACUUGAGUGCUGCAUUUCAAACUGGAAGUCUAGAGUGCAGGAGAGGAGAAUGGAAUUCCUAGUGUAGCGGUGAAAUGCGUAGAGAUUAGGAAGAACACCAGUGGCGAAGGCGAUUCUCUGGACUGUAACUGACGCUGAGGCUCGAAAGCGUGGGGAGCAAACAGG